ensembl:lncRNA
GAAAGACUCGCGCAGCCCACCCAGAGACGCCAAAUUGUCGUGGAAAUUAGACAACACUCGCAGACUCGUCCUCUGAAGUAUUUCCUACCUGUGUGGUGACGUGAGUUCAAGCUCGAAAAUUUCAUGAUGUUGUGGAUCUUGCUGAUACUUUCCUACAGUCUUCUAAUGCUAAUAAAGGUUGCUCUGCCCCAAUUCGACGUGCUGCACCGGGAUUUGAGAGGAGAAGAUUGUGUGUCGAAGACCGAUAUGUCGGGAGGAAUGUGGAUGUGUGGUUUGUCUGUGAUUGUGUGCAUACUAUUGAGUAGCGAAUAUUUUUCCCGGUGUUUGAGUGAGAUCGCUUGCUAGUUUUAU